rnacentral:rRNA from 1 species
UACGAAGGGGGCUAGCGUUGCUCGGAAUCACUGGGCGUAAAGCGCACGUAGGCGGCUUUCUAAGUCAAGGGUGAAAUCCUGGAGCUCAACUCCAGAACUGCCUUUGAUACUGGGAAGCUCGAGUCCGGAAGAGGUAAGUGGAACUCCGAGUGUAGAGGUGAAAUUCGUAGAUAUUCGGAAGAACACCAGUGGCGAAGGCGGCUUACUGGUCCGGUACUGACGCUGAGGUGCGAAAGCGUGGGGAGCAAACAGG